UUAUAGUAGACUUCUAUCCGAUAGGGUUUGGAUGCCUUAGUUCAAAUAGGAAGAGAGAGCUUUGAUGACAUUUCUAGUGAACCCAAUAAAGGUCGAAGAGGCCAGCGUAAAAGCACAGAAAGGGAAGAAACUUGACCACAAUCUUGAUGUUCAAAUAGUGGGAUUUUUUUCCUAGUAGCUAGUUUUGAGUUCCCCUAGUUCAGCUACUUGAGGGAAAAUCAAUGGGGGCAAGUCUACGAGGAAGGGUCUAUGUCCCCUUUUUACAAAACAAAGCAUGUCUCUAUACGUAAUUUAAUCAAACUUUAUACAUCUUUGUGAAGAAAUAAAAGUAAGCGCUUUUAAGGCCAGUGUGGAGUAGCUAGAAUGGAUGGGAGGUAAU
rnacentral:lncRNA from 1 species